rnacentral:piRNA from 1 species
UCCUUAUGACUCGGUGUUGUGCCAAAGA